rnacentral:rRNA from 1 species
UACGAAGGGGGCUAGCGUUGCUCGGAAUCACUGGGCGUAAAGGGUGCGUAGGCGGGUCUUUUAAGUCAGGGGUGAAAUCCUGGAGCUCAACCCCAGAACUGCCCUUGAUACUGAGGAUCUUGAGUUCGGGAGAGGUGAGUGGAACUGCGAGUGUAGAGGUGAAAUUCGUAGAUAUUCGCAAGAACACCAGUGGCGAAGGCGGCUCACUGGCCCGAUACUGACGCUGAGGCACGAAAGCGUGGGGAGCAAAGCAGG